UACGUAGGGUGCAAGCGUUAAUCGGAAUUACUGGGCGUAAAGCGUGCGCAGGCGGUUGUGCAAGACAGAUGUGAAAUCCCCGGGCUCAACCUGGGAACUGCAUUUGUGACUGCACAGCUUGAGUGCGGCAGAGGGGGAUGGAAUUCCGCGUGUAGCAGUGAAAUGCGUAGAUAUGCGGAGGAACACCGAUGGCGAAGGCAAUCCCCUGGGCCCGCACUGACGCUCAUGCACGAAAGCGUGGGGAGCAAACAGG
rnacentral:rRNA from 1 species